rnacentral:tRNA from 1 species
GGGGCUGUAGCUCAGUGGCAGAGCACUUGCCUAGCAUGCAUGAGGUACUGAAUUCGAUCCUCAGCACCA